GUCAACACCACCAAUAACACCGUCAACACCACCGAUAAUACCCUCAGCACCAACACCACCGAUAACACCGCCAACACCCACCGAUAACACCGUCAACACCACCGAUAACACCGCCAACACCACCGAUAACACCGUCAACACCAACGCUAACACCGCCAACACCACCGAUAACACCGUCAACACCACCGAUAACACAGUCAACACCACCGAUAACACUGUCAACACCAACGCCACCGAUAACACAGUCAACACCACCGAUAACACCGUCAACACCACCGAUAACACCCAAACACCACCGAUAACACCCAAACACCACCAAUAACACCGUCAACACCACCAAUAACACCGUCAACACCACCAAUAACACCGUCAACACCAACGCCACCGAUAACACCGUCAACACCACCGAUAAUACCCUCAGCACCAACACCACCGAUAACACCGCCAACACCACCGAUAACACCGUCAACACCACCGAUAACACCCAAACACCACCGAUAACACCUCAACACCACCGAUAACACCGUCAACACCACCGAUAACACCCAAACACCACCGAUAACACCCAAACACCACCGAUAACACCGUCAACACCACCGAUAACACCGUCAACACCACCAAUAACACAGUCAACACCAACGCCACCGAUAACACAGUCAACACCACCGAUAACACCGUCAACACCACCGAUAACACCGUCAACACCACCAAUAACACCGUCAACACCACCGAUAACACCGUCAACACCACCGAUAACACCCAAACACCACCGAUAACACAGUCAACACCACCGAUAACACAGUCAACACCACCGAUAACACCGUCAACACCAACAUAUUCCACGUGUAGAUUACAAAUAAACAACAACAUUUAAUCAGUAAAAUACAGCCUUAACACUUCCUUAAAUCCACAUGUACAGAGUUUAAUCACACACUUGUGAUCUUUGGUGUUCAGUUAAAAAGAUAAAAUCCCCGUCAGGAAGAAACACUGAUUCAGAGAAACACCAAUAAACCACUGUCUGAUUCACACCCUCUCUCUGCUGGGGGAGAGAUUCAGAGAGAUGUAUCCAAGACAUCUUUAAAAAAGAUUUUAAAAAUGCAAGAAACUCAUGACUGCACUUAACUAAAUCA
ensembl:lncRNA